CGUGGAUCGAUUUGUCUGGUUUAUUCCGAUAACGAGCGAGACUCUAGCCUACUAAAUAGUAACGAGAUUGCCAUUGUCUCAGUUGCUUCUUAGAGGGAUUUUCGGUGUUUAGCCGCACGAGAUUGAGCAAUAACAGGUCUGUGAUGCCCUUAGAUGUCCGGGGCUGCACGCGCGCUACACUGGCGAAAUCAGCGUGCUGUAUCCAUUCUCGAAAGAGAUUGGUAAACCCAUGAAAAUUUGCCGUGCUUGGGAUCGGAAAUUGCAAUUAUUUUCCGUGAACGAGGAAUUCCAAGUAAGUGCGAGUCAUCAACUCGCUCUGAAUACGUCCCUGCCCUUUGUAC
rnacentral:rRNA from 1 species